AUUUCAAAUAAUUUCAAUGGGGAACAUGUAUUUGAUAUACAAGCAAAUUGAGUUACAAGCUCAGUCAUAGUACAAAUUAAACUCGUAAGUCCAAGUACCAUUAUAGAUUUGAAAAAACACAACAUGAC